GACGAACCGUACGAACGUUAUUCGGAAUCACUGGGCUUAAAGGGUCCGUAGGCGGCUCGGAAAGUAGGGUGUGAAAUCCCACGGCUCAACCGUGGAAUUGCGCUCUAAACUAUCGAGCUAGAGGGAGAUAGAGGUGAGCGGAACUGAUGGUGGAGCGGUGAAAUGCGUUGAUAUCAUCAGGAACACCGGAGGCGAAGGCGGCUCACUGGGUCUUUUCUGACGCUGAGGGACGAAAGCUAGGGGAGCGAACGGG
rnacentral:rRNA from 1 species